ACUCAUAGAAAUAGAACAACCAUUAUUCUCUGACUUAAACGAGUAACCGUCUCGCAAUAAACAAGAUCCAGAUAUAAUGUUCAUGCUUACCGCAGGCACUAACUAACAUUUAUUUAGGUUCAUAACUAAUCCUGAUGGUAACUAAAGUGAAACUGUGCCGACGACGAUUGCAUCAACCUGGGAACCAUUUCCCACGCGCAUCGUCACUUCAUCCUUUCCCAGCCUUCGCUUAUUCCGCAAUUCCUGGUUCGAGUUGCAAAUAUGAGCAAUAGAACCGGUAUCGAAUACCCAGGCACUACUACGAGAGCUGGUUAAGUACACAUCAAUAACAUGUAUAUUGAAUAUACCUGAUUUUUCCU
rnacentral:lncRNA from 1 species